UAUUGUAUAGAAGAACGAACUCGGUCGACCAUACUGCUCCAAGUCCACAUGUACUUGAUGUAGAAAUAAGAAGAGGCCUUGGAGAUGGUUUCUUUCCCGAAUUAAUCGAAGAUGCUUUUCUCUGCGACGAAGUAGACAGUGCGUAAGUUUGUGGAGGAUUUUGAAAAAUAUUUUGACGUUAAAACGGCAAUCUUCGUUGCUGGAACAUGUAGUUUAAUGCACCAUUUCAAAAUCAACGUAAUUCAAAAUCAACAAAAUCUACCAAUUUUCUAUAUACUUGUGACAUUGUUUUGCAUCUUCAUUCAUUUAUUAUGCGACUCAGAAUUCUUAUUUUUGAUUUUUUUGUUCCUCGCCUCGAAUUUCAAUACUGUUUCAAUGCGAUUAUCUUUUACCUUUAGUGGUCUAUAGCUGAGUUUACAUUAGCCUGUGCAAAUAGAUCUGAACUGAGUCAAUUCAAUAAAUCAAAGAGAAUUCUCAAAUCAA